AUCGCUUCUCGGCCUUUUGGCUCAGAUCAAGUGUAGUAUCUGUUCUUAUCAGUUUAAUAUCUGAUACGUCCCCCAUCGGGGGACUACAUAUUAAAUGGAUUU
rnacentral:snRNA from 8 species